rnacentral:rRNA from 1 species
CCAGCAGCCGCGGUAAUUCCAGCUCCAAUAGCGUAUAUUAAAGUUGUUGCAGUUAAAAAGCUCGUAGUUGGAUUUCUGGGAGGGUGCCGAAGCCAGCUUCGCGCUGCGCUGAAGCGCCCUUUCAUCCUUCUGUUAACGCCUCUUGGCAUUCAUUUGCUGGUGGCGGGCUCAGAUAUUUUACCUUGAGAAAAUUAGAGUGUUUCAGGCAGGCUAAGCCGGAAUACAUUAGCAUGGAAUAAUGGAAUAGGACUGAGGUCUCUUUGUUGGUUUGAGGGACUGCAGUAAUGAUUAAUAGGGACAGUUGGGGGCAUUAGUAUUUAAUAGUCAGAGGUGGAAUUCUAUGAUUUGUUAAAGACUAACCUAUGCGAAAGCAUUUGCCAAGGAUGUU